ACUUAAAUAGUUUAAUAUAAAAUAUUGAUUUGUGGUAUCAAAGAUAUAGGUUUAUUUUAGGUU
rnacentral:tRNA from 1 species